GCCCUUGAAGUUCACCGGAUUGAACACUCGGCUACGGACCGAGAGGCAGCAGGUUCGAUUCCUGCCAGGGGCA
rnacentral:tRNA from 1 species